rnacentral:lncRNA from 1 species
CACCUUCAUAAACAUCUGAAUAUGAUAUAAUUUUAAAAUUUAAAGUCCAUCUUCACUAUUCAUUAUCUAUAUAAUUAUCGUUAGAGUAUCGUCAUAAAAAACUACCUCAAUCCAAUAGCCUUAGCUAUAUCGACCAAUAAAAUUUGAUUUCGAUGGUCACAAAUGAUCGCAAAAUGAUUUGAUAAAUAGUGACCAUCGAUAGAUC